rnacentral:piRNA from 1 species
UGACCCUGGUGAUUUGAGUCGCGCCUUCC